UACCAUGGUGGUAACGGGUAACGGGGUGUUAGGGCACGACACCGGAGAGGGAGCCUGAGAAACGGCUACCACAUCCAAGGAUGGCAGCAGGCGCGCAAAUUACCCAAUCCCGACACGGGGAGGUAGUGACAAUAAAUAGCAAUACGGGGUUCUUUAGGAUCUCGUAAUUGGAAUGAGUACAAUUUAAAUCUCUUAACGAGGAACAAUUGGAGGGCAAGUCUGGUGCCAGCAGCCGCGGUAAUUCCAGCUCCAAUAGCGUAUAUUAAAGUUGUUGCAGUUAAAAAGCUCGUAGUUGAAUUUCGGGGUCAGUAGGUCGGUCGUGCCACUGGUAUGAACUGGUUUUACUGAUUCCUCCCUCUUGAAGAACUGUAAUGCCAUUAAUUUGGUGUUGCAGGGAAUCAGGACUGUUACUUUGAAAAAAUUAGAGUGUUUAAAGCAGGCUUUAGCUUGAAUACAUUAGCAUGGAAUAAUGAAAUAGGACGUUUGAUCCUAUUUUGUUGGUUUCUAGGAUUGACGUAAUGAUUAAUAGGGAUAGUUGGGGGCAUUAGUAUUCAAUUGUCAGAGGUGAAAUUCUUGGAUUUAUUGAAGACUAACUACUGCGAAAGCAUUUGCCAAGGAUGUUUUCAUUAAUCAAGAACGAAAGUUAGGGGAUCGAAGACGAUCAGAUACCGUCGUAGUCUUAACCAUAAACUAUGCCGACUAGGGAUCGGAUGAUGUUAAUUUUUUAAUGACUCAUUCGGCGCCUUACGGGAAACCAAAGUGUUU
rnacentral:rRNA from 1 species